AAGUCCUACAACAAUGUCAUCAUGUCUCAGAGAAUCCAAUGUUCCUGAGGGUUUUGAAGUCCUACAACAAUGUCAUCAUGUCUCAGAGAAUCCAAUGAUUCCUGAGGGUUUUCAAGUGCUACAAAAAUCUCAUCAUGUCUCAGAGAAUCCAAUGAUUCCUGAGGGUUUUCAAGUGCUACAAAAAUCUCAUCAUGUCUCAGAGAAUCCAAUGAUUCCUGAGGGUUUUCAAGUGCUACAAAAAUCUCAUCAUGUCUCAGAGAAUCCAAUGAUUCCUGAGGGUUUUCAAGUGCUACAAAAAUCUCAUCAUGUCUCAGAGAAUCCAAUGAUUCCUGAGGGUUUUCAAGUGCUACAAAAAUCUCAUCAUGUCUCAGAGAAUCCAAUGAUUCCUGAGGGUUUUCAAGUGCUACAAAAAUCUCAUCAUGUCUCAGAGAAUCCAAUGAUUCCUGAGGGUUUUCAAGUGCUACAAAAAUCUCAUCAUGUCUCAGAGAAUCCAAUGAUUCCUGAGGGUUUUCAAGUGCUACAAAAAUCUCAUCAUGUCUCAGAGAAUCCAAUGAUUCCUGAGGGUUUUCAAGUGCUACAAAAAUCUCAUCAUGUCUCAGAGAAUCCAAUGAUUCCUGAGGGUUUUCAAGUGCUACAAAAAUCUCAUCAUGUCUCAGAGAAUCCAAUGAUUCCUGAGGGUUUUCAAGUGCUACAAAAAUCUCAUCAUGUCUCAGAGAAUCCAAUGAUUCCUGAGGGUUUUGAAGUCCUACAACAAUCUUAUGUCUCAGAGAAUCCAAUGA